UACGAAGGGGGCUAGCGUUGCUCGGAAUCACUGGGCGUAAAGGGUGCGUAGGCGGGUCUUUUAAGUCAGAGGUGAAAUCCUGGAGCUCAACUCCAGAACUGCCUUUGAUACUGAGGAUCUUGAGUUCGGGAGAGGUGAGUGGAACUGCGAGUGUAGAGGUGAAAUUCGUAGAUAUUCGCAAGAACACCAGUGGCGAAGGCGGCUCACUGGCCCGGUACUGACGCUGAGGCACGAAAGCGUGGGGAGCAAACAGGG
rnacentral:rRNA from 1 species